rnacentral:sRNA from 1 species
GACCUUAUCUAUUUAAAGGAGAUCACAAAUUUCCUACAAACAAAGAGAACUUACCAGUGGUGAUUCUCUAUGCCGAAAUGGGUACUAGAACAUUUAGUGCAUUUCACAAAGUAUUGUCUGAAAAAGCUCAAAAUGAGGAAAUUCUGUAUGUUCUUCGCCAUUAUAUUCAGAAACCAAGCUCACGGAAAAUGUACUUAUCUGGGUAUGGUGUGGAGCUAGCAAUUAAGAGUACAGAAUACAAAGCACUGGAUGAUACCCAAGUUAAAACUGUGACUAAUACUACUGUAGAGGAUGAGACUGAAACAAAUGAAGUUCAAGGAUUUCUCUUUGGGAAACUAAAAGAAAUAUAUUCAGAUCUUAGAGAUAAUCUGACAGCAUUCCAAAAAUACCUGAUUGAGAGUAACAAACAAAUGACGCCUUUGAAAGUCUGGGAACUACAAGAUCCUGUUAAGACUAUUGCAUGUUUCAUUGAUAAAUUUUUAAUGGAAACAUCAAAUGGAGGACAUGCAGUUUUACAAAAUCUUAGUUUUCAAGCAGCUUCUCAAAUAAUGUCCGCUCCAGUUUAUGAUGCCAUUAAAUUAAUGAAAGACAUUUCACAGAACUUCCCCAUAAAAGCCAGAUUAAGAAUGAAUAUAUUGAUAUGCCUCUUUCAGUCAACUUUAAAUGUCAAGAAUUUGAGAAGUCGUCAUUUAUAUAAUAAAACAUGAAAUAUAUAUGGGUGUGUAUAAAUGUCAUAUCUGUUUAGCCAUAAUACUUUUAAUUAAUGGCCAUUAUAAAAAUUAUUAGAUCAAAUACAAAUAAGGUAAAAUAACUUUAGUCUUGAUCAGACAGUUGAUUAGCUCUAUUGAUGCUAAGUCAGUAUAACCGUUCAGAGGUUCUGAUGCAAAACUCUGCUGUUAAUCUGUAAUUAA